rnacentral:rRNA from 1 species
GACGAACGCUGGCGGCGUGCUUAACACAUGCAAGUCGAACGGAAAGGCCCUGCUUUUGUGGGGUGCUCGGGUGGCGAACGGGUGAGUAACACGUGAGUAACCUGCCCUUGACUUUGGGAUAACUUCAGGAAACUGGGGCUAAUACCGGAUAGGAGCUCCUGCUGCAUGGUGGGGGUUGGAAAGUUUCGGCGGUUGGGGAUGGACUCGCGGCUUAUCAGCUUGUUGGUGGGGUAGCGGCUUACCAAGGCUUUGACGGGUAGCCGGCCUGAGAGGGUGACCGGCCACAUUGGGACUGAGAUACGGCCCAGACUCCUACGGGAGGCAGCAGUGGGGAAUAUUGCACAAUGGGCGGAAGCCUGAUGCAGCAACGCCGCGUGCGGGAUGACGGCCUUCGGGUUGUAAACCGCUUUCGCCUGUGACGAAGCGUGAGUGACGGUAAUGGGUAAAGAAGCACCGGCUAACUACGUG